AGAGUUUGAUCCUGGCUCAGGAUGAACGCUAGCGGCAGGCCUAACACAUGCAAGUCGAGGGGCAGCAUAAAAAUAGCUUGCUAUUUUGGUGGCGACCGGCGCACGGGUGCGUAACGCGUAUGCAACCUACCUUAUACUGGGGGAUAGCCCGGAGAAAUUCGGAUUAAUACCCCAUAGCAUUGUGAUAUCGCAUGGUAUUAUAAUUAAAGGUUACGGUAUAAGAUGGGCAUGCGUCCUAUUAGCUAGAUGGUGAGGUAACGGCUCACCAUGGCGACGAUAGGUAGGGGGCCUGAGAGGGUGGUCCCCCACACUGGUACUGAGACACGGACCAGACUCCUACGGGAGGCAGCAGUGAGGAAUAUUGGUCAAUGGGCGCAAGCCUGAACCAGCCAUGCCGCGUGCAGGAAGAAUGCCCUAUGGGUUGUAAACUGCUUUUAUUUGGGAAUAAACCUCUUUACGUGUAGAGAGCUGAAGGUACCAAAUGAAUAAGCACCGGCUAACUCCGUGCCAGCAGCCGCGGUAAUACGGAGGGUGCAAGCGUUAUCCGGAAUCAUUGGGUUUAAAGGGUCCGCAGGCGGGCUUAUAAGUCAGUGGUGAAAGCCUACAGCUUAACUGUAGAACUGCCAUUGAUACUGUAAGUCUUGAAUUCGGUCGAAGUGGGCGGAAUGUGUAGUGUAGCGGUGAAAUGCUUAGAUAUUACACAGAACACCGAUAGCGAAGGCAGCUCACUAGGCCUGGAUUGACGCUCAGGGACGAAAGCGUGGGGAUCAAACAGGAUUAGAUACCCUGGUAGUCCACGCCGUAAACUAUGAUUACUCGUUUUCGGCGAUAUACUGUCGGAGACUAAGCGAAAGUGAUAAGUAAUCCACCUGGGGAGUACGAUCGCAAGGUUGAAACUCAUGGAGUUGCCUAGUGCAAUGACCAAGGCAGAGAUUGCAACUUUUCUUAAGACCAGCAAGCUCAUGGAUAAGCCCGUGUAUGCUCACGCCAUUGAGGCUGCCGAUGCCAAGUACAAUGGCGAAGCCAAGCCUGCUGUGGCCAAAGUCAAAGUAGCCAAGACUGUUGGUACUACUCGCAGCAAAAAAUCAGCUCCUAGUAUUGAAGACAUUCGUGCUCGUGCACAGGCUAACAA
rnacentral:rRNA from 1 species